GAUUGGACUAGAUGAUCUUUCAAGGUUCCUUCCAAACCCUGAUGUUUGGUGAUUCUGUGAUUCUGUAACCAGUAUGGAGAAGAGACAGCAGCUAUUAAAAUGAAGACAUGGAAAAAAAAUACUCUUCAAUUCUUAGCCAGGAUUCUGGCAUUUAAUUUUUUAAAAUAAAUAAUACAUUAUUAAGCUCUUCUCUCUUCUCUUCUCUUCUCUUCUCUUCUCUUCUCUUCUCUUCUCUUCUCUUCUCUUCUCUUCUCUCUUCUCUCCUCUCCUCUUCUCUCCUCUCCUCUUCUCUUCUCUCCUCUCCUCUUCUCUCCUCUCCUCUUCUCUCCUCUCCUCUUCUCUCCUCCUUUCCUUCCCCUUUCCUCUCCUCUCCUCUCCUCCUUUCCUCUCCUUUCCUCUCCUCUUCUCCUUUCCUCUCCUCUUCUCCUUUCCUCUCCUCUUCUCCUUUCCUCUCCUCCUUUCCUCUCCUCUCCUCUCCUCUCCUCUUCUCCUUUCCUCUCCUCCUCCUUUUCAUUCCCUUCUCCUUCCCAUUUUCCUCCCGUGCGUAUUUCCCUCUCCCCUCCCUUCCCUUCCCCUCCCCUCCUCUUCUCUCCUCUCUUCUCCUCUUCUUUCCCUUUUCCUUCCCUUUUUCCUUCCCUUCUCCUUUCCCUCUCCCCUCCUCCGCCAUUUCCUUUCCUUCCCCUCCCCUCCCCUCCUCUCCAUCUCUUCUCUUUCCUUCUCUUCUCUUUCCUUCUCUUCUCUUUCCUUCUCUUCUCUUCUCUUUCCUUCUCUUCUCUUCUCUUCUCUUCUCUUCUCUUCUCUUCUCUUCUCUUCUCUUCUCUUCUCUUCUCUUCCCUUCUCGUCCCUUCCCUUCUCGUCCCUUCUCUUCCCUUCCCUUCCCUUCUCCUUUCCCUCUCCCCUCUCCCCUCUCCCCUCUCCCCUCUCCCCUCUCCUCUCCCCUCUUCCCUUUCCCCUCUCCUCUCCUCUCCUCUCCUCUCCUUUCUGUUUCUUUUCCUUUUUUCUCUUCCUUUCUGUUUCUUCUUUUCCUUUUUUCUUUUCCUUUCUGUUUCUUCUUUUCCUUUUUUCUCUUCCUUUAUUCACUCUUCCCUUCCCUUCUCUGCUCUUCU
rnacentral:lncRNA from 1 species